rnacentral:tRNA from 1 species
GGAAAUGUGGUGAAAUGGAAUCACGCCAGGUUGUGGCACCUGGGGUGCAGGUUCGAAUCCUGCCGUUUCCU